rnacentral:rRNA from 1 species
CCUACGGGUGGCAGCAGUGAGGAAUAUUGGUCAAUGGGCGCGAGCCUGAAUCAGCCAAGUAGCGUGAAGGAUGACUGCCCUACGGGUUGUAAACUUCUUUUAUAAAGGAAUAAAGUGAGUCACGUGUGCCUUUUUGUAUGUACUUUAUGAAUAAGGAUCGGCUAACUCCGUUCCAGCCGCCGCGGUAAUACGGAGGGUCCGGGCGUUAUCCGGCUUUAUUGGGUUUAAAGGGAGCGUAGAUGGGUUGUUAAGUCAGUUGUGAAAGUUGGCGGCUCAACCGUAAAAUUGCAAUGGAUACUGGCAGUCUUGAGUACAGUUGAGGUAGGCGGAAUUCGUGGUGUAGCGGUGAAAUGCUUAGAUAUCACGAAGAACUCCGAGUGCGAAGGCAGCUUACUAAACUGCCACUGACAUUGAUGCUCGAAAGUGUGGGUAUCAAACAGGAUUAGAUACCCUAGUAGUC